rnacentral:rRNA from 1 species
UCCUACGGGAGGCAGCAGUGGGGAAUAUUGCACAAUGGGCGCAAGCCUGACGCAGCCACGCCGCGUGAGUGAUGAAGGCCUUCGGGUUGUAAAGCUCUGUCACCAAGGAAGAACGUCUUCUAGAGUAACUGCUACCGAGGACGGACUGCAAGGAGCCCGAUUCCCG